GGCCUAUUAGCUCAGUCGGCAGAGCGUGGUGCUAAUAACGCUAAGGUUGUGAGUUCGAUCUUCACAGCGGCCA
rnacentral:tRNA from 1 species